rnacentral:rRNA from 1 species
AGAGUUUGAUCAUGGCUCAGGACGAACGCUGGCGGCGUGCCUAAUACAUGCAAGUCGAGCGAGCUUGCCUAGAUGAUUUUGGUGCUUGCACUAAAUGAAACUAGAUACAAGCGAGCGGCGGACGGGUGAGUAACACGUGGGUAACCUGCCCAAGAGACUGGGAUAACACCUGGAAACAGAUGCUAAUACCGGAUAACAACACUAGACGCAUGUCUAGAGUUUGAAAGAUGGUCCUGCUAUCACUCUUGGAUGGACCUGCGGUGCAUUAGCUAGUUGGUAAGGUAACGGCUUACCAAGGCAAUGAUGCAUAGCCGAGUUGAGAGACUGAUCGGCCACAUUGGGACUGAAACACGGCCCAAACUCCUACGGGAGGCAGCAGUAGGGAAUCUUCCACAAUGGACGAAAGUCUGAUGGAGCAACGCCGCGUGAGUGAAGAAGGGUUUCGGCUCGUAAAGCUCUGUUGGUAGUGAAGAAAGAUAGAGGUAGUAACUGGCCUUUAUUUGACGGUAAUUACUUAGAAAGUCACGGCUAACUACGUGCCAGCAGCCGCGGUAAUACGUAGGUGGCAAGCGUUGUCCGGAUUUAUUGGGCGUAAAGCGAGUGCAGGCGGUUCAAUAAGUCUGAUGUGAAAGCCUUCGGCUCAACCGGAGAAUUGCAUCAGAAACUGUUGAACUUGAGUGCAGAAGAGGAGAGUGGAACUCCAUGUGUAGCGGUGGAAUGCGUAGAUAUAUGGAAGAACACCAGUGGCGAAGGCGGCUCUCUGGUCUGCAACUGACGCUGAGGCUCGAAAGCAUGGGUAGCGAACAGGAUUAGAUACCCUGGUAGUCCAUGCCGUAAACGAUGAGUGCUAAGUGUUGGGAGGUUUCCGCCUCUCAGUGCUGCAGCU